rnacentral:rRNA from 15 species
CAUGUGGUGGAUGCCUUGGCGAUCACAGGCGAUGAAGGACGCGGUAGCCUGCGAAAAGCGGAGGGGAGCUGGCAAACGAGCUUUGAUCCUCCGAUAUCCGAAUGGGGAAACCCGGCCCGUAUGGGUCAUCCGUAACUGAAUACAUAGGUUACGUGAAGCGAACGCGGUGAACUGAAACAUCUAAGUAACCGCAGGAAAAGAAAUCAACCGAGAUUCCCAGAGUAGUGGCGAGCGAAAUGGGACCAGCCUGUACUCUUUAUCUUCAUUGUUAGUCGAAGGCUCUGGAAAGUGCCGCCAUAGUGGGUGAUAGCCCCGUAUCCGAAACCUGAGUCUGGUGAAAUCGAGUAGGACGGGACACGUGAUAUCCUGUCUGAACAUGGGGGGACCAUCCUCCAAGGCUAAAUACUCCUGACUGACCGAUAGUGAACCAGUACCGUGAGGGAAAGGCGAAAAGAACCCCGGGAGGGGAGUGAAACAGAUCCUGAAACCGCAUGCAUACAAACAGUCGGAGCCUCUGCGAAGGGGUGACGGCGUACCUUUUGUAUAAUGGGUCAGCGACUUAUGUUCAGUGGCGAGGUUAACCGUUUAGGGGAGCCGUAGGGAAACCGAGUCUUAAUAGGGCGUAUAGUUGCUGGGUAUAGACCCGAAACCAGGUGAUCUAUCCA